rnacentral:rRNA from 1 species
CCGACGGUGAGGGGCGAAAGCUGGGGGAGCAAACCGGAUUAGAUACCCGGGUAGUCCCAGCUGUAAACGAUGCGCGUUAGGUGUAUCAGUGACCACGAGUCACUGAGGUGCCGAAGAGAAAUCGUGAAACGUGCCGCCUGGGAAGUACGGUCGCAAGGCUGAAACUUAAAGGAAUUGGCGGGGGAGCACCACAACAGGUGGAGCCUGCGGUUUAAUCGGACUCAACGCCGGGAAACUCACCAGUUAAGACAGCUGAAUGAUAGUCGGGCUGAAGACUCUACUUGACUAGCUGAGAGGAGGUGCAUGGCCGUCGUCAGUUCGUACUGUGAAGCAUCCUGUUAAGUCAGGCAACGAGCGAGACCCACGCCAACAGUUGCU